AGUGAACGCUGGCGGUAGGCCUAACACAUGCAAGUCGAACGGCAGCACAGUAAGAGCUUGCUCUUACGGGUGGCGAGUGGCGGACGGGUGAGGAAUACAUCGGAAUCUACUUUUUCGUGGGGGAUAACGUAGGGAAACUUACGCUAAUACCGCAUACGACCUACGGGUGAAAGCAGGGGAUCUUCGGACCUUGCGCGAUUGAAUGAGCCGAUGUCGGAUUAGCUAGUUGGCGGGGUAAAGGCCCACCAAGGCGACGCUCCGUAGCUGGUCUGAGAGGAUGAUCAGCCACACUGGAACUGAGACACGGUCCAGACUCCUACGGGAGGCAGCAGAGGGGAAUAUUGGACAAUGGGCGCAAGCCGGAUCCAGCCAUACCGCGUGGGUGAAGAAGGCCUUCGGGUUGUAAAGCCCUUUUGUUGGGAAAGAAAAGCAGCAGGUUAAUACCCCGCUGUUCUGACGGUACCCAAAGAAUAAGCACCGGCUAACUUCGUG
rnacentral:rRNA from 1 species